rnacentral:lncRNA from 1 species
CAAUAAGGACAGCAUCACCUAAUGAAUUACCAGGAAAGGUUUAGUAAAACGAGCAGGCAGAAGAGGAGAAGCCGGAAGCGGUGAUGCUGGGAUCUCGUGACUGCUCCCCACCCCAUCAUCUUUGUUGAACCAAAGCUACAGUAUGUGACAAUCUUUGGGGAACCAUGAGCCACAAAGAAAGCAGGUGCUGUACCACUGAGAACGCUGGGCAGGCAAGAGGGCUGCGAGCCGACGCAGUGUCCGCUGGGAGUUCUUCCAGUGUGAAGACUUCAGCUACAUCUCAGCAAGAAGGAAAAAGUGUUCGUUCAUCUUCAACCUGCAGUGUGCUGCGCUUGCUUCUGUUUGGAUGCAAGUUUUGCUCCCUCUUGUCUUCCUCAGACCCUGCUUAAGUUUGCACUCUCCAGGAGACAGAGAAACAACAGAAGGCAAGGAAUGGUCUUCUCCCUUCCAGCCCGCAUGAGGAAAAAUAAACAUGGUGGCGCUUCUGCAAAGCAAGUGAUCAAAUUAUGAUGAUUAGACACUGCUCUCAAAAGGGAGGGCUGAAAAUAGCAGGUUUGCGAGGUAAGAGCUCAUGCAAGAGAGAGCAUAGCACAGCAUCCCCAGUGACAGUGAUUAUGGUGCAGUUCCUUGGAGGGAAAUGAGCUAAUCUAGGCUGCUGGCACAGUAGGUCAAUCUUCUGCCCGGCACCUCCUUUUUUCCCCUAGAUAAUGGAAAAUAGUUUCAUUCAGCACACCGGGGAUACAGCACAGCACUCAGGGCUUCUGCACGUUUUGCCCCCUAAUAGGAGUUAGGUUUAGCCAAGUAGGAGGGAAGGAAGGCUUGGCUGUGCUGGGCCUUUCAGAACUGGACUCCACAAGACAGCAGUACCCACCGGGGCAGAAGCUACAAGCCCUCUAUGUUGACUGACCCUCCUCCAGGACAAGGUGAAUUUGGAAUUCUGGAAUUUGAAAAAUUGGCCCAGUGUAGAUGUUCAGGAACCCAGUGAGGACAACAGAGACCUUCUAAAUGGUGAUAAUGUUUUCUCAACUUUUUCUUUCAGGAUUUUAUUUGCAUCUCGGAAUAUUGUGUUAGACAUGUCUUUCAUUUCCUGUAUUUUGAUGCUUUGACUGCUGGCGGCUUGCUGACCCUGUAGGCACAAUACCUCCCCCACCUCCAUCCCAGGCCUAGGUAAUUCCUAGAGACAGCAACCAGCUCUCCCAUAUGCAAACCAAUCGAUCCAUAGCCCAUAUCCACACCACCUCCUCUAGCUGGCUGUCAUACUCAGGGCCAUUGUCCCCCAUCCUAAUUGCCCCAAGACCAGAUAUAAACAAUGAGGGGCAGCCAUUAUGGCCCAGAACUUGCUAAAAUUACUCAAACCCAUCGUAAACUCAUAGCCCUGCCUUUCCUGU